rnacentral:rRNA from 1 species
GUAGGUGGCAAGCGUUGUCCGGAAUUAUUGGGCGUAAAGCGCGCGCAGGCGGUCCUUUAAGUCUGAUGUGAAAGCCCACGGCUCAACCGUGGAGGGUCAUUGGAAACUGGGGGACUUGAGUACGGAAGAGGAAAGCGGAAUUCCAAGUGUAGCGGUGAAAUGCGUAGAGAUUUGGAGGAACACCAGUGGCGAAGGCGGCUUUCUGGUCUGUAACUGACGCUGAGGCGCGAAAGCGUGGGGAGCAAACAGGAUUAGAUACCCUGGUAGUCCACGCCGUAAACGAUGAGUGCUAAGUGUUAGGGGGUUUCCCGCCCCCUUAGUGCUGCAGCUAACGCAUUAAGCACUCCGCCUGGGGGAGUACGGCCCGCAAGGCUG